AUUGCUUCUUGGCUUUUGACUAAGAUCGAGUGUAGUAUCUGUUCUUAUCAGUUUAAUAUCUGAUAUGUUCCCUAUCUGGGGACUUUGUAUUAUCUAGAUCUCGGAAGCUGUCUGCUUGGAGUCCAUUCGCCUAGUCUUGUCUAGACAGGGUUUUUCGGUUAUGGUCUUUGCUUCCUUGAUCCGGGCUCGUGAG